rnacentral:rRNA from 1 species
GUUCUGGUGGUUUGAGCGGAAGGGUCAUACCUGAUCCCAUCCCGAACUCAGCAGUCAAGCCUUCCAGCGCCGAUGAUACUUGGGCCUGAGCCCUGGGAAAGUAGGUCGCCGCCAGAACA